GAAAAAACGAGGCCAUUACGUAUGUGAAGCCAUCUUCGUAGCCAUUUGUUGAAAAAUUAACGAAUUAUUCUAAUUAGCAUAAACGAAAAAUUCAUGAAACAUGCAUGCAUGUAAUUAACGAAUCACGUAAAACUCCAAUCCUACUGUGGAAGACUGUCCUCGUAGAUUUCAAAAAUGAAAAGUCGAACGCGAUAACCGUAAAAAAAUCUUAAAAAUUGCUAUAUAAAAAUGUAAGAAUAUUAAGGGUUGGUAUGAAAGAAAUUGAUUUAAUAAAAUAGAUGCAUGAUCUCUAAUAUUUUUUGUAUUGAAAUGAAAAACUUUUUAUAUAGUUGAUAAUUAGUAAUUUCCGUUUUAAUAAAAAUAUCUCCUAAUUAUACUGUUGCUAUGGGUAAUAUUCUUUAUCUCAAGAUCUCGUUCCGACAGAUUGCACAAAACUAUAGCGUUAAAAAACUAAGAACAUGUAUGACUACAAAAAAAUGAUAAACGAAGAAAAAAGAACAAUAGAACGGGGUAAGAUGUCACGAGAUUAAAGACUUAUAUAAGGGAAAACUAUAAUACAAUAGAGGUACAAAGCGUUAAAUAUUAAGAGUUUUAUUGGAUUGUAUAUAUAGAUAUCUGUUAUAAUGCUCUUUUACGUUUGUUUGUUUAUAAAUUACGUUUGCACCUUGUGUAUGUAGUAAUAAAUACUUUAUUUCAAUCACAUUGGUCGUUAUUUUUAAUAUUUAAAAAAUAUAUACAAAAAUAUUUACAAAGAAAGAAAGCAGCGUUUGUCACGCUAAUAAUAUAGUCGAUAGAAAAAUAAAUUCAUAGUUCUACUUAUAACCAGGAUGGGGAGCUCAGUUUAUAAAAUGUGUGGUUCAUAAAUUAAGGAAGAAAUGAUAUAUUUAAAAAAUUGCUGUAUCUGUUCUACUGGAACGAUUCGUAAAGUGAACAUAAUGAUUUUGGGCAUAGUUCGUAGGCAUUAUUGUAAAAAUCCAUUGAUAUUACGUGAUAAGAAUUAUUUUUACUUAUUCAUUAAACACGAAUCUCUUAUGUGUUUAGAUUCGCGAUUUGCGGGGCGACUUUAUAUUUCUAUUAAUCACUUUGCUUAGUCGCUAAAUAGCAAUAACCUUUAUAUAAUGAAAAUUCCAUCCCGAUUUGUUUAAUUACUUAUUAAGAAUUUUCACAAAAUAUUUAAACUAUGCCUGGAAACAAAUUAAUAAUGAGGUUGUGAUAUCAUCGCAUGUUCGUAUUUAAACGAAAAUUUAGUGUUCGACAUAAACGAAAUAGAACAUAAAGCUGUCCAGGUAUUUCAAGGCUGAGUUUUGAAACUUAUGAACUUUGAUAUCAUGAAAUGUUUUUAGCUUUACAGUGAACAUUGUGAAAAUAUGUUUAUAAGUACAUCAAUUUUCAAAACAUUCGCCCAUUGUCAU